AAAGUCUCUCCGCUGCUACCAAACCACCUUCACCCGCUGCACCUGAAGAUCUCGAUUCUCUUCUGCAAUCACAGCAAGUAGUUGAUAUGCUCUUCUCUUCUCCAUAAAUUAUUACUUCAUUUUUUCUUCUUCUCCACCUAACUUGUUACUCAAGUAGCAUGAUUUGUUGCAAAUCAGAAAAUCGAUGGGUAUCUAAUCAACUUUAACUGCGAAAAAGCCAAUCCGGAUUCCAACUCGGGAAGAAGACCCCCCGUCAAGCCAAUAUGCAUCUCUCAUUGGCUCCUUGGCGAGGAUCCAUCCUCUCCACCUACAAACCUUUUGACCUCCACUUCAUAUCGAUCCACCUCCAACCCUCUUCAAUGAUAGCGCUUUCAGUUCUUGAUCGCUCUCGUUUUGAUUGGUGGUUGUUUCUAUUUCUCUGACCUGGGUGUUCAUGUCCGAUUUAGGUUCUGUUUCAAUUUCUCCGAUAUGGGUUCUUUUUCGAUUACCGGAAUCUCAUCUGGGACCUCCAAGCUUUGAUUGAGAUAAGAUUGCAGUUCUGGCAGGAGUUGCAGUUCUGGAAUCUCAUCUGGGACCUCCAAUCUCAAUUCUGGCAUGCCACGCGUUUUUUAAGCUUAGAUAGUUCGUGCUAUUGUUAAAAUUCAUAAAAUUUCAUGUAUAAAUGUGUAAUUAAGUUAUUGUUUGUGCCUAUUCAAAAUUUUAAAAGUGAAGAAGUAAGGAUUGCAGCCUUGCAGGCAUUGGCGGAGCUACAUGAGGAUAUAGGGCUGCAUUCGGCCCACUUGGCAAAUGAAAAAAAAAAGUCACUUAUAUAUAGCUGGUAGGCUUGGCAACGGGGAGGUUCGGGGAUGGUUAUGGUAUACCCAUUACUCAUCCACCUUCGUGACAGUUAUUAAUCAUAACCAUCACCAUUUCUGUUUCAGUGAUAGAUUUCGUUCCAUCCCCAUACCCACCCGGUUACGGUUA
rnacentral:lncRNA from 1 species